GAAUUCACUAGUGAUUCAGGCCUAACACAUGCAAGUCGAACGGCAGCACGGAGCUUGCUCUGGUGGCGAGUGGCGAACGGGUGAGUAAUAUAUCGGAACGUACCCUAGAGUGGGGGAUAACGUAGCGAAAGUUACGCUAAUACCGCAUACGAUCUAAGGAUGAAAGUGGGGGAUCGCAAGACCUCAUGCUCGUGGAGCGGCCGAUAUCUGAUUAGCUAGUUGGUAGGGUAAAAGCCUACCAAGGCAUCGAUCAGUAGCUGGUCUGAGAGGACGACCAGCCACACUGGAACUGAGACACGGUCCAGACUCCUACGGGAGGCAGCAGUGGGGAAUUUUGGACAAUGGGCGAAAGCCUGAUCCAGCAAUGCCGCGUGAGUGAAGAAGGCCUUCGGGUUGUAAAG
rnacentral:rRNA from 1 species